GGGAAGCCAUCCUCCUGCAAAAUUGAACUCAUUACAGCUAGAUUUCUUGGGCAUUUUUUGCUUUCUCCUUUACAAAAUAUAUCACAAACCCAUCUCAAAUUCGAGCCACGAGUGAGGAAUCCAGUAGAGCCAGAGUUCCGCAGAGAAAGCCAUGCUUAACUAAGGCCAUUUUUGGUUUGCUCCUCAACAAAAUCGAACCCGGUUGAGCUAGAGUUCCUAGGGCAUUUCCGCCUUGCUCCUUUACGAAAUUGUGCCAAACCCCAUUCUCAAAUAGUAGCCAUGAGAGAGGAAUCGAGUAGGGACAAAGUUUCCAGAGGAAGAAAUGAAGCAGAAGAUAGACUCAGUGAUUUGCCAGACUCCAUCCUCUGCCACGUACUCUCGUUUCUCCCCACAAAAUUCUCGGCCGUUCUGUCCACCAGGUGGAGGUAUCUUUUCUUGGAUGUUCCCAAAAUUGAUUUGGAUGAGUCACUGAUUUUUAAUUCUGAUCAAAUAGGCAGAGAUGAUAUUAAUGAAAAUGAUAGCUUAUUGUUAGAGGAUAAAUUUGCCUGUUGUAUUACGAGGCUUGUUUCUCACAAAUCAUCCAUAAAUGAAAUUACACUGAGAUUAUUAGAGCUAAUUUAUCAGAAAAUGCGCCAAAUUAAAGCGUGGAUAACUUCUCCACUCUGUCACAAUGUUGAAGUUGAUGUUUUUGUUGAACGAAUUGGGUAUCGCUGGAUCUUAUUAGUCUUGCCAUUCAAAUAUUCAGAUGCAUGUUAUGGAAUUUCUGGGCCUUGUAUGGACGGGUUAACCUUUUCGUAUCAAUGGUAUCAGAGCCAGACAAAUAACCCCAACGUCCCAGGUUCGACGGAGGGGGAGCCCUGAAUUACCAGGCCACGAGGACGUUGGCCUCUAAGGAGGGGUGCUUGUUAUGGAAUUUCUGGGCCUUGUAUGGACGGGUUAACCUUUUCGUAUCAAUGCAACAGACUUGUAAUAUUCAAAUUACAUGGAAAGUUUGCGCUUGAGUUUCCAAAAUUGGAAGUUUCAUGUGAAUCUAAAGGCGUUGAAUUUAGCAGGAAAGUUGACAGUGAUGGGUAAUGAUACGGUGUGGAAAGUUGGUUUGAUCUGUCCAUUGCUUGAGGAUUUGGGGGUUUCUGAUGUCGAUGUUUGUGAUGACGAAUUAGUUGAUAUUUCCAUUCAUUCACUAAAAAAGGUUGGUUUGGAUUCUUUAUCAGCAAGGGCAAAGGGUCGUUCCUAACACCCCGAAUCUUAAGUAUCUAGAGUAUGAUUGCUUUUUCUGCCCAGUAAUUGAUUCAGCUUGCAAGAUGAAAAUAUUUGGUUAGAGCUCGUCUAUCUUUUACUAGUUUUUUGGAUGAACUAGAAUUUAAUGAGGCUUAUCAGUUUAACCAGCUUAUUCAUGAAAUGUACAACAUAAAGUAUCUGCAUUUACAGGGACUCUCUAUGGAGGUACAACUCUUGAAUAUCUAUGUUGCACUUGCCUCUUCUUGAUUUUUCAUCUUAUAUCGUAAAUUUUGCUACCAUUUGAAUGACUUUUGCACUUUACAUUAUGUGAAGUGUCUUGGUAUGAUAAAAGUUAUGUUGCUUGAGUUUCAAAGUUGGACACAUUUGGCUCUUCUUGCAAUCCGGAAUGACACAAUUGGGUAUUUAUGGAGAGUCUGUCUACUAAAGAGGACACCAAAUCUAGAAAUGCUUGUCUGCAACAUGGACCAAGAGGAAGUUCUCCCUGUUAUAGACCUAGACUCUGGUGCUGAAGAUGGACCUCAUUGUCUGGAUGAACUUCUUAUGGAAGCUAAAACAAAAUUUUAGAGUGGGAUAGAGUAUGAACAUCUUACAGAAGUGAAAAUGAAAAAUUUCAGUGGCAGAGAGUACGAGUUUGAGAUAGUUAGAUAUCUUCUGAAGCAUGCAAGUGUGUUGCAAAAGAUGUCUAUAUAUGCUUCCAAAUCCAAAUUUUCAAAAGAUUGUCGUUCAUUCGUUCAAAGGAAGUUAUUGAAGUUAUGGAGGUGCUCAAAAAACUGCAGGGUGGUUCUUAAUUAAAUCUGUGGAGUAAAAGUACGUAUUCUGGAUGCUCAAAGAAACACAAGAGAUCAAAUGUGACUUUUGGAUGAACAGAAGUCGGAGGUGUUUGCUCGUGUAGGAUUCUAAUCUCUGGGCUCAAUGUUUUAUUGUCUGUAGAUUCCUUCCUCGUGGGUACAUUGUGCUGAUAUUUUUUUUUUGAGGGAAUUUCAUAUAUGACCUAUCAGGUAUUUUGGUCCAUCAGAAAAUAGAUUUCUAUAUUUUAGUCAUUUUUGCAGUUGUUGAUGAUGCACUGGAUGUUGAAAUCAUGUGCUCUUUUCCCUGGUUAUGCCAUCUUAACUUCCUUUCAGAACAUUCCGAUAAUUUGUGCAAUAUUGCAGUUCUGCCCUUA